CAAACUUCGGUGUGAGAGACAAAGAAAUACAAGUAUAAAAUCAAAGAAGAAGAAAAAAAGAAAAAACCAACAACUCUGAAUUGCUGAUCCCCAAAACUGCUACCUUCUUAUCUUGAAAACUGCUAAUUAAAGGUUUGGGGGUACACGUACUUACAACUGUAUUAAUUGAGACCCACGAGGCAAGAUAAAAUCUGCAGCUAAGGAGAAAUGUUUUACAGUUCAUUACACAUGAAAUAUUAAAUACGCUUCUAUUAGAAACUGUUACCGUGUUGGCAAGGAUUAACAGACUUGUAGCUAAAAAAAAAAAAAAAAAAGAAUCGCACUGUAUUUUAUCUAGAGUAUUUAAUUCUCCGUCUCUUCCUCUGUGUGAAAGGCACCUAGAAGAACAGAAUUAUAAGGAAGAGAAUGGGGUUAGAAAUUUGUAGAAGACCAAGAAAGGUCUAAUGUAUAACAAUUUUUAAAACUUCAUGUGGAAAAAUUAUUCAUUUCACCAGUGACAUUAGGAUCUACUUAUGACCUUUGGUAAGGAGCAACACUGGUAAGACAAACACAUCCUAUUAUUUAUUGGGGCUUUCUUAGGAUUAAAGGUAAAUGUGCUGGUGUGACAGUUUACCCUGUGAUCUAUCAGAAUAGAAAACCUUACAUACUGUUGGCACUGGUGGUGACCAUAUAAUACAAUUCCCUUUUUACAG